ACUCUUAAGUUCAGGCAUCAACUUAAUCAUGUGGGAAAAUGUUUAGGGUUUUAUCUCUUGUAUCUUAUUCAUCAGUAACCAUGCCUUUUUUUUAAUUAUUCCUUCCAUAAGCCGAAAAGGAAAAGUUUAUUUUCCGACCUAAGGUUAUUAACUAAUAAUAUUUAGAUCACACACAAGGAACAUAGUUUAUAUGUUACUAUUACAUAGACUUUGGCUAAUAGUUGACUAUGUAGAUCGUAGAUUUAUUUUGUUGUAUUUCAAAGCAAACUGGUGUGGGUAUAUUAUCACAGCAUUUCUAAGGUAUUCAAAAUUUAUUUUCUACUAAGUGCUCAUGUAUAUUCUAUUUAUAAUUCUACUUGCCAAAUAGCAGUAAAAGUUGAUACCAUUUCAAAAAUAUCACAUUAAAAAUCCAGACAAUUAGAUUUGCUUGUAUGGUUUUUUUUUUUGUUUUUUUUAGAAAUCUUUAUUGUACAGUUCUGAAAUAUCAGUGUUUAAUUUCAAUAAGUUACAAAAUAUGUUUUUUAAAAUAGCACAAAAUUUGUAAUACUAUCUGUCUAUAUUCAUAAAAUACCAAACAAAACAGAAUUCAUGAAACACUUGCUUUUUAAAAAAGUCAUCUUCAUUUUAACUUUUAUUUAAGUUCAAAACCAUUUCCCCCUUCAUUUUUAAGUUUUAAAAGUUUUU